rnacentral:rRNA from 1 species
AGGACGAACGCUGGCGGCGUGCUUAACACAUGCAAGUCGAGCGGUAAGGCCCUUUCGGGGUACACGAGCGGCGAACGGGUGAGUAACACGUGGGUGACCUGCCCCCUACUCUGGGAUAAGCCUGGGAAACUGGGUCUAAUACCGGAUAUGACUCAAGGCUGCAUGGUUUUGGGUGGAAAGCUUUUGUGGUGGGGGAUGGGCCCGCGGCCUAUCAGCUUGUUGGUGGGGUGAUGGCCUACCAAGGCUUCGACGGGUA